GUGAGACAGAGGAGAGUGGAAUUUCUUGUGUAGGGGUGAAAUCCGAAAAUAUACGAAGGACCGCCAAAAGCAAAGGCAGCUCUCUGGGUCCCUAC
rnacentral:rRNA from 11 species